rnacentral:rRNA from 1 species
GACGAACGCUGGCGGCGUGCUUAACACAUGCAAGUCGAACGGAAAGGCCCUGCCUUUGUGGGGUGCUCGAGUGGCGAACGGGGGAGUAACACGUGAGUAACCUGCCCUUGACUUUGGGAUAACUUAAGGAAACUGGGGCUAAUACCGGAUAGGAGCUCCUGCCGCAUGGUGGGGGUUGGAAAGUUUCGGCGGUUGGGGAUGGACUCGCGGCUUAUCAGCUUGUUGGUGGGGUAGUGGCUUACCAAGGCUUUGACGGGUAGCCGGCCUGAGAGGGUGACCGGCCACAUUGGGACUGAGAUACGGCCCAGACUCCUACGGGAGGCAGCGGUGGGGAAUGUUGCACAAUGGGCGGAAGCCUGAUGCAGCAACGCCGCGUGCGGGAUGACGUCCUUCGGGUUGUAAACCGCUUUCGCCUGUGACGAGGCGUGAGUGACGGUAAUGGGUAAAGAAGCACCGGCUAACUACGUG